UUAAGGGUGCACUAAAUAAAAAUUUCAAGUAGAAAAUAAAGACCACGGGGAGCACAGGGUUUUGCCCUAUGAUGUAUAGUCCCUUUCCACAACUUUGGAGGUACAGCAAGGCUUGUGUCUGUGCCUGCAUAUUCAUACAGCUUCUCUGUCCUGUGGGCAAGGACUAGGGAGAUAAACCAUGCAGGGAACACGU
ensembl:snoRNA SNORA73 Small nucleolar RNA SNORA73 family